rnacentral:lncRNA from 1 species
CCAAGAAAGAGGGGGCUUUCCAAUAAGGAUUUCUCCUUACUGGCGCGCAAUUAGGUGACCAAACCUCUCCUUAGACAGAACUUUCUAGACAUUGCCAAUAAUGUUAUCUGAUAAUAUUAUUCAAAUAAUAUGAAUUAUUGAUUUGAUAAUGGAAAAUACUGUGUAAUGACAAUUAUUGAAACAACAGCGAUACAAAAUAUCAACGCAGCA